rnacentral:rRNA from 1 species
CACGUAUGGUGGGCGACUCUAAGGAGACUGCCGGUGACAAACCGGAGGAAGGUGGGGAUGACGUCAAGUCAUCAUGGCCCUUACGGCCUGGGCUACACACGUGCUACAAUGGUCGGUACAAAGGGUUGCCAAGCCGCGAGGUGGAGCUAAUCCCAUAAAACCGAUCGUAGUCCGGAUCGCAGUCUGCAACUCGACUGCGUGAAGUCGGAAUCGCUAGUAAUCGUGAAUCAGAAUGUCACGGUGAAUACGUUCCCGGGCCUU